rnacentral:rRNA from 1 species
AAUGAACGCUGGCGGCAGGCCUAACACAUGCAAGUCGAGCGGAUGAAGGGAGCUUGCUCCUGGAUUCAGCGGCGGACGGGUGAGUAAUGCCCAGGAAUCUGCCUGGUAGUGGGGGAUAACGUCCGGAAACGGGCGCUGAUACCGCAUACGUCCAGAGGGAGAAAGUGGGGGAUCUUCGGACCUCACGCUAUCAGAUGAGCCUAGGUCGGAUUAGCUAGUUGGUGGGGUAAAGGCCUACUAAGGCGACGAUCCGUAACUGGUCUGAGAGGAUGAUCAGUCACACUGGAACUGAGACACGGUCCAGACUCCUACGGGAGGCAGCAGUGGGGAAUAUUGGGCAAUGGGCGAAAGCCUGAUCCAGCCAUGCCGCGUGUGUGAAGAAGGUCUUCGGAUUGUAAAGCACUUUAAGUUGGGAGGAAGGGAAGUAAGUUAAUACCUGGCUGUUUUGACGGUACCAACAGAAUAAGCACCGGCUAACUUCGUG